GGCGCGAAACCUUUACACUGCACGCCAGUGCGAUAAGGGGAUCCCAAGUGCGUAGGCAUAGAGCCUACGCUUUUGUCCACCCUAGGGUGGUGGACGAAUAAGGGCUGGGCAAGACCGGUGCCAGCCGCCGCGGUAAUACCGGCAGCCCGAGUGAUGGCCGAUCUUAUUGGGCCUAAAGCGUCCGUAGCUGGCCGCACAAGUCCAUCGGGAAAUCCACCUGCUCAACAGGUGGGCGUCCGGUGGAAACUGUGUGGCUUGGGACCGGAAGGCGCGACGGGUACGUCCGGGGUAGGAGUGAAAUCCCGUAAUCCUGGACGGACCGCCGAUGGCGAAAGCACGUCGCGAAAACGGAUCCGACAGUGAGGGACGAAAGCUAGGGUCUCGAACCGGAUUAGAUACCCGGGUAGUCCUAGCCGUAAACACUGCCUGCUAGGUGUGGCACCCACUACGAGUGGGUGCUGUGCCGUAGGGAAGCCGCUAAGCAG
rnacentral:rRNA from 1 species